GAAAUAUAGCUACAGGAAAAGGUUCAAUGUGUUAUCUUCAGCUUCCUAUUGGUUAUCACAGAUUAAACUUUCUGAGUCGGCUUCAAAGCACUCAGUUUCGAUAGGUUUUUUCUAGCUUGCCCUUGAGUCAGGAGUUGAGCCUCUGCAUCAAAUUCGUGAAGAACUAAGGUCAUAUGUACUGAAGUACAACCUUCUAGAUGGACUAGAAAACAUCACAAAGGAUAUGUUCAAUACUUACAAGAUACAAGAUCUUAAGAAGCCACAGAUUGUGGAGAAUGAUUCUCAAUUAUCAGAUCAUGUAGCCUUAAACUUGGGUGAGGUUCAUAAGAACACUACAAAUCUUCAUACGUCUCACUGAAGACUUUCUAUCUUGCUAUUCCUGUUACAGUAUAUCAAGCUCUUCAUGUCAAUAGCUAUCAAAAUAUUGUGUGCGUAAGAUUUUUUUUCUGUCAUACACUUUUCCAUUGUGAUGUUGAAAAGACUUUUUUUUUCUGAUGAUUUUCUUGUCAAGCUGAAAGAUUUUUGCUAUGUUGAAGAAUUAUUGAUAUCA